GACAGAGGAGGCAAGCGUUGUUCGGAAUCACUGGGCUUAAAGCGGGUGUAGGCGGCCCGGCAAGCGUCGUGUGAAAGCCCACGGCUCAACCGUGGAACUGCACGGCGAACUGCCGGGCUUGAGGUCGGUAGAGGUGCCUGGAACUCUAGGUGGAGCGGUGAAAUGCGUAGAUAUCUAGAGGAACGCCAGCGGCGAAAGCGGGGCACUGGGCCGAUUCUGACGCUGAGACCCGAAAGCGUGGGGAGCAAACAGGAUUAGAUACCCCCGUA
rnacentral:rRNA from 1 species